rnacentral:lncRNA from 1 species
UUAAAGCCCAAAAUACUGAAAUCUUAUUAGAUCACUUUUAAACGAGUUUAAUCGAAUUUGAUAACUUUUAAUUUAUUUUACAAUAAUUCACACAUAUAAGUCCACUCGAUUAAAAUUUGUUACAAAAGGCUCUUUCCCUUUCUAUCUCUUUGUUAGGCCCGCUUCUUGGUCCUCAACCUCAUCUGGUUCGACGAUUUUUAUGGCCGAAUUUGGUUCACCGUCAAUGGCUUUUUCUUAGACUCCGUGAUAGUGAGUUAUCUCUUUUGAGGAAGGGAGGAUCAGUAUUUUUCGUGAUAGUAAUCCACCUCUUCAUAAUUUUCUCUUUCUAAGUCUUCUCCUCUUUUCCCUUUUCCUUCUUCUUGGCUUUGGCAGUGGCGAUCUCUUUGGCUUCAGAUGGUAGAUGCGGGUCAACUAAUCGCUAUAACCUUGUAGGCCACAGUAUUGGUACUGAGAGGUUAAUUUUUCUUCCCUUGCAAGGCGCUUCAUGAAAGACAUGUUUGGCUUGACAUACUCUUUCUUAUCAUGUUGAUCUACAAAUAAUGUAGAUGCGUUAACACUUAAGCAUGUGAUGGCACCAAUAUAUCUAUGGAAGGAACUUUACCUUUGGAGGCCAUUAUUUGAUGGCUAACAGAAAAGUUCCUAUUUGAGAUGACUCGGUUUUAUGACCUCUGCUCAAUGGAAAGGUCGUAAAUAUCUCUAACAAAAUCCCACUUCUCUGGUUCUAACUCGAAUUGGUUAACUACUGUUAAAAAAAUGGAGAUAGAAAGAUGCUGACCAAAGCGUAAAAGGUACG